CGGUCUAACAUUUUGACGGGUAGAGGCGCAAUGCUUUUUAAACCCUAUGAUUUGACGUUAGUUCACUGUUGCCUCCCGUCGAAAUCUUCUGCACAAUAAUUGCAGGUCAUGUGCCCAUCAAUUUGUCAGCGCCUCGCAGACAGGAAGCUCGACCCACUCGUCCCUCUCCCCACCACCCCAACACUGUGUUGUGACAGACGAAAAGGAUUCCUCUGCAGAGAGUGACUGCACAUUUCCAAGACUGCAGCAGACAUUACUGCGGAGACCACCCCAUCUCAGCGGGAAACAGAGUGCUUCAAAGACCCGAGGAGCAGAGACACACCUGAUUCAUCCCUCGACCCCUCGCUGUCAGUGAACAGAACUCCACCUCUCAGCAAGAGCCACCUGUGUUUGGCAAACCCCCCCCCAGCAGUCCCUGCUCCUGGGUUCAGCGCCCACUUCCUAGGUUACACCAGGACCCG